rnacentral:rRNA from 1 species
UACAGAGGUCUCAAGCGUUGUUCGGAUUCAUUGGGCGUAAAGGGUGCGUAGGCGGCGCGGUAAGUCGGGUGUGAAAUCUCGGAGCUUAACUCCGAAACUGCAUUCGAUACUGCCGUGCUUGAGGACUGGAGAGGAGACUGGAAUUUACGGUGUAGCGGUGAAAUGCGUAGAUAUCGUAAGGAAGACCAGUGGCGAAGGCGGGUUGCUGGGCUGACACUGACGCUGAUGCGCGAAAGCCAGGGGAGCGAACGGGG